rnacentral:rRNA from 1 species
UCGACCUCAAAUCAGGUAGGA